CAGCAGCCGCGGUAAUGCGUAGGGCGCAAGCGUUAUCCGGAAUUAUUGGGCGUAAAGAGCUCGUAGGCGGUUUGUCGCGUCUGCCGUGAAAGUCCGGGGCUCAACCCCGGAUCUGCGGUGGGUACGGGCAGACUAGAGUGAUGUAGGGGAGACUGGAAUUCCUGGUGUAGCGGUGAAAUGCGCAGAUAUCAGGAGGAACACCGAUGGCGAGGGCAGGUCUCUGGGCAUUAACUGACGCUGAGGAGCGAAAGCAUGGGGAGCGAACAGGAUUAGAUACCCCCGUAGUCCCUGUCUCUUAUAC
rnacentral:rRNA from 1 species